rnacentral:rRNA from 1 species
GACGAACGCUGGCGGCGUGCUUAACACAUGCAAGUCGAACGGAAAGGCCCUGCGUUUGUGGGGUGCUCGAGUGGCGAACGGGUGAGUAACACGUGAGUAACCUGCCCUUGACUUUGGGAUAACUUCAGGAAACUGGGGCUAAUACCGGAUAGGAGCUCCUGCUGCAUGGUGGGGGUUGGAAAGUUUCGGCGGUUGGGGAUGGACUCGCGGCUUAUCAGCUUGUUGGUGGGGUAGUGGCUUACCAAGGCUUUGACGGGUAGCCGGCCUGAGAGGGUGACCGGCCACAUUGGGACUGAGAUACGGCCCAGACUCCUACGGGAGGCAGCAGUGGGGAAUAUUGCACAAUGGGCGGGAGCCUGAUGCAGCAACGCCGCGUGCGGGAUGACGGCCUUCGGGUUGUAAACCGCUUUCGCCUGUGACGAAGCGUGAGUGACGGUAAUGGGUAAAGAAGCACCGGCUAACUACGUG